UACACAUUUAUAUUUUGGCAUAUAAAAUAUUGUAACCUGCAAAAGGGUCACUGAUCCGCUAAAUCUUGUGAAGCCUGCAGGAUUAAACGUCUGUGUGUAAAGAAAGCUGCAGCCAACUCAAUAUUUUGUACAUAACCUUAGAAAAACUGUGUAUGCUUUAAGUCGUGCCGUUUCCAAAAUGCAUUAUUAUUGUGUACUUUUUGACUAAAUAGGAACCUAAACAUAUCCCAAAAUGUUUUUCUGCCGUGCGUGUUUCAAUAAAGUUUUAUAGUUUCUUUUUAAUCACCCUGAACUUGGUAUUUUGCCUUUGUUGUACCAAAGGAAUGCCUUCAGUUUGUGAAAAUGGGCCUCGGUGGUUCCAGACUUUGCUGAAUACGCUGUAUGUAUACAAGAUAAGCUGAUCUUUAAAAAAAAAAUCAAAAGGAAAAAAACCUACAGUGUUUUGCUAAUGAAGUUAUUCAUUUGUUUUUCAAAACUAAACUUGUAAUGCCACAUUCGAAACAAAAUAAAGCUCACCAUUCCCUGAGGUUAUGUGCUGCCAAAUAUGUCUUAUUUUGAAAAUGAUGCAGUGCUUUAACAUGUUAUUGUCCUUAACCUUUAGUUUAGUGUAUUUCUCCAAGCUCUCAGAAGAGCACUUGUAUCUGCAGCCACUUGAAAAUGACUGAAUUUCAACAGUAUUUCAAAUCAAGCUUGCAGGGAUCUUACUUGACUUUGAUGCAAAGUCAUGCUGGCUGGUUUUUAUAAAAGAAAAAAAUCGCAGAGGAGAGGAUUCUAAAAGCCAAAAGAUCGCCACAAGAAGGUAAAACUAACCCUAACACUCAUUUAUUAGACUUUAUGUUUUGUGUAGCAAACAAGUAAUGCAAGUCAUCCAAAACAUCAAAAUCAUUGAAGUGCAAAAAAUUAUUGUCUCUAGUUAAUCCGAGCAAAAUAAGCGACCCAAAACUAUGAUAUGGUUGUAAUGCAACUCUUGCUCCAAUAAAACUUCUUCACCCAUUUCACUCAAUACUUUAUAUUUAAUAUUUCCAUCUUGGUUAUUUUCUAUGGACUAGUUUCAUAGCAAUAAGUACAUAAAACAUUUAAAACCUUCCAUUGUUAAAUAAAUUUAAAAAUAUAUUUGAGUUGCAUGAAAUUCUAGUUAAUUUUGCAUGUAAUUUUGCUUAGAUGUAGGUGCUGGUGUCUCCUAGAUCUCAUUUUCUUGUUCUUCUCUUAGGUUGGCACAACUGUGCUGGCACAGUUGAUAAAUUCAACUCUGAAAAAACAGGCUUUAAGGUCUUGGAAUCGGCUGUAUUUCAUAAGAGUGGGGUAUUUAAACCCCAAAGCGGUCUAAUGUGGCAUCCUUCUUGGGUGUGGGUGUAACGUACCUGGACGGUUGAGAAGAAAACCUUUUUUUAUUUUUUUUUAUGGAUAGCUCCCGAGCUAUUUUUGACCUUUGAGUUAGAAUCAGCGGUCAUGUGAGUUUUUAUACUGCACAAUUUUUUUACAUUUGUUUUAUACCUUUUUUUUUUAUAGGG